rnacentral:rRNA from 1 species
UACGGAGGGUGCAAGCGUUAUCCGGAUUCACUGGGUUUAAAGGGUGCGUAGGUGGGUAGGUAAGUCAGCGGUGAAAUCCCCGAGCUUAACUUGGGAACUGCCAUUGAUACUAUCUGUCUUGAAUACCUUGGAGGUGAGCGGAAUAUGUCAUGUAGCGGUGAAAUGCUUAGAUAUGACAUAGAACACCAAUUGCGAAGGCAGCUCACUACACGGUCAUUGACACUGAGGCACGAAAGCGUGGGGAGCAAACAGG